GCCUUGUGGCAAGCACCUUUACAAACCACUGGGCCAUCUUGCCAGCCUCACUCACUAAAAGCAUGUUUAGGCUCUGACAGUUGACCUGAAGGUGGCCCUGUAUGCAGCCCCAUACUAUGAUACUUGCACCAUGCCUCGUGUCCAGAUGGAUGCCAUACUUACCUCCAUUCCCUCGCUCUCCAGGGAGACACAAGAGCAAAAAACAACAUGGGUGACACCGAGUUGAUGGGUCCCUUUACUUGCUGCGCAGCCUUCCUGUCUAGAAAGCUCAGAGCAGGGGCUCCUACCAGCCCCACAUAUGCCCUACAUGGCCAAAUAUGGCAGUGUGUCCCCAGGAAGGAUGCUGCUCUGAGCUCCCAGAUGGUGGCUCUGGCCUGUGCCUCCCUGGUCUUGGUGCGAAGGCUGCUACUUACUUCCUGCUCUCAUAGAAAGCCAUGAUGUCCUUCCUCAAAAGCGUUAACAUCCAGCUCCUCAGAGCACUCAAAGGAGAAGUCUAGCCCUGUGCAGCUGCAAGGGAGAAGCUCAGUGAAGCCAGCAGACACACAGCACUGACACAGCUUGGCCAGUGUUCUGUAGUGGCCUCAGCUCCUCAUCUGUCAUUGAGAACUACUGCACCCACCCUCGUGUGUGGGAGGAUUCCCUGAAAAUGCCUAAGAUGGUGCCUGGAACAUCACAGGUCCCCAGGGAACGCUCACUGUUACUCCUGCGGCCCAAGCAUCCAAGCUGUUCUGGGUUCCCCAAGUCAUCAAGCAGCAUGGCUGGAAGAUUGUCAAUGCAGUGGAGAAGCGUGCAAAUCAGUCACUGGAAAGCAAGGCAAGACAUCAGCAGAGAAACACCAGCUGCUCCUUCAGAGGGCCUCCAAGAACUGGUUCUCAGUGCCCACAUGGCAGCUCACAACCAUCUGUAACUGUAGUACCAAGGGACCUGACACUCUCUGCUGGCCUCUUCAGUCACCUACAUGCACAAACAUAUAUAUCACAUAAAUACACAAACACAGAAGAUUCAAAAUUUAAAAAUAUUAAAGUGAAUACUUGGAAAUUUUCAAAAUAGUUGUAGUUGGAAGUGUUUAGUGAUGAGGGGACCCGAGCUGCAUCAGUGUCAAGCCUGGGCUUUGAGGACACUGUAGUCCCUUUUGCUCCCCUACCUCAUGGGUGCCCUGAACUUAACUGGGAGGAAACGUAGCUCUAUAGAGGCAAAUGGUAUGGAUGCAGCCAGGGACCUGUGUGUGUCAGAUGCCCCUACUCUUCAGCAGAAGGGAAAGCGGGGGCAGCCAAGGCCAUGGUUCAGUGGGUAAAGCACUGGCCUCCCCAACCUGACAGCCAGAGUUCCAUAGCAACAAACCCGUAUGAAAAGCCAUUUGUGGUGUUUAUCUGUCGUCCCCACACUCCUACAGAGAGAGAUAGGAUUCAGAGAAGACAGAAUCAGCUAGAAGCUGCAGGCUAGAGAGCCCAUAGUAUGCAGAGCCACAAACAGGUGCAUGCAAUUCCAGUUAGCUGUCCUUGUCACCUGACUGCCAAGAGUCAAUCUGUGAGGAAAGCUAUGAUUGACAGAUAGCCUGGAUCAGACUGGCCCUGGGCUGUCUGGGGGCUUGUCUUGAUCUCCUCUCUAAGUGGCCAUUGGUCAGAGUGUUUUUAUCCCAGCAGUCUAGGACAGAUAUUCUGCCUCAACAAGGUAGAGGAGACGAGGCACUCCCAGCCACCCCCACGCAUGCUCUGGCACACGUGUCACUCUGACACUGUAGAUGGACACAUAAUUCAUCAAGAGGGAAUGGGUGCAGGACAGCCAUAGAGUGCCUGCCCAGUGAGUGCGAGGACUGCCUUGUGCUUUCUGUACAGCAGCACAGAGCUCAGUAAUCAGACCAACAACCUAGUGAGAAAAUAGGAAAGACUGAAACACAAGGCACAGGGCCAUGCCUGGUCUACAGCCUGGUCUACAGAGUAAGCUCCAGGACGACCAAGGACACACGGAGAAACCUUGCUUGACUUAAAAGAAACCAGGGUCAGGAGUGCAGCACAGCGUCCUUAAUGUGUGAAGCCAGAUCCGUCACCAGAAAGAGAAACAAGUCAAACUUUACAUUCAGCUUUUAAAAUUUGUUUGAGUGUGUGUAUGCACACACAUACUUAUGUGCAGGUGGUCAGGGGACAGCCUUCUGGAGUUGAUUUCCUACCUCUACCCUUUGGAUCCCAGAUUAGUUUGUUGGUUUGUUUUUUUUUUUUUUAAGUUUAUGCACCAUGGGAUGCUGAACCUUCCUUUGGCUUGUUGAGCAAAAAGCAGAACCAACACCCAAGCUGGUGUGAAUCUGAGUCCUGUGACCUCACAUGAUGGCCUACAAUGAUCUUGGUGGAAGAGGAACCUAGAUGAACACAGCAGGCUAGAAGCAACUGUAGUGAAUCUGCACAUCAGACAGCAGCCAUCCACACAGGGUGGGAGGUAGGGGAGGUGGGAGCAAGAGGUCAUAGGUCAAUGGGAGCCACCAACUCCAGCUCCUUACUCCAGGGACCCUCAGGGAUAAAGAAGUCUCUGACAUCAGGGUCAUGCCUCAUUCUGGUUUGGCACUCAUGGGGCAGGGGUGGUGGUAGACUUGGUUCAAGACCCUCCAGGCCACACAUUCCUGAAACUUUUCCCAUGCCAAUCUCUACAUCACUAAGAAUCUGCUUGAGGAUAAUGACAGGGAAGAACUCAUCAAAUGUGUUCCCCAUAUUCCCAUUUUUGCCUUUUAAAAAACAUUGCC